CCUACGGGGAGCAGCAGUGGGGAAUAUUGCACAAUGGGAGAAACCCUGAUGCAGCGACGCCGCGUGAGUGAUGAAGUAUUUCGGUAUGUAAAGCUCUAUCAGCAGGGAAGAUAAUGACGGUACCUGACUAAGAAGCUCCGGCUAAAUACGUGCCAGCAGCCGCGGUAAUAGGUAUGGAGCAAGCGUUAUCCGGAUUUACUGGGUGUAAAGGGCGUGUAGCCGGGUUGACAAGUCAGAUGUGAAAUCCUGCGGCUUAACCGCAGAACUGCAUUUGAAACUGUUGAUCUUGAGUACUGGAGAGGCAGACGGAAUUCCUAGUGUAGCGGUGAAAUGCGUAGAUAUUAGGAGGAACACCAGUGGCGAAGGCGGUCUGCUGGACAGCAACUGACGGUGAGGCGCGAAAGCGUGGGGAGCAAACAGGAUUAGAUACCCUAGUAGUC
rnacentral:rRNA from 1 species